UACAGAGGUCUCAAGCGUUGUUCGGAUUCAUUGGGCGUAAAGGGUGCGUAGGCGGCGCGGUAAGUCGGAUGUGAAAUCUCGGAGCUUAACUUCGAAACUGCAUUGGAUACUGCCUUGCUAGAGAACUGGAGAGGAGACUGGAAUUUACGGUGUAGCAGUGAAAUGCGUAGAGAUCGUAAGGAAGACCAGUGGCGAAGGCGAGUCUCUGGACAGUUACUGACGCUGAGGCACGAAGGCCAGGGGAGCAAACGGG
rnacentral:rRNA from 1 species